ensembl:snoRNA
GUGCCACUGCGUCCACCCAGCUAAACAAUCCUUUGGAGCUAAAUUAGCAUCAUGACUAAUGUAGCCAUUGCUGUCAGUCACCUUCAGACAAAU